AUUGAACGCUGGCGGCAGGCCUAACACAUGCCAGUCGAGCGGAUGAAGGGAGCUUGCUCCUGGAUUCAGCGGCGGACGGGUGAGUAAUGCCUAGGAAUCUGCCUGGUCUUGGGGGAUAACGUCCGGAAACGGGCGCUAAUACCGCAUACGUCCUGAGGGUGAAAGUGGGGGUUCUUCGGACCUCACGCUAUCAGCUGAGCCUAGGCCGGAUUAGCUAGUUGGUGGGGUAAAGGCCUACCAAGGCGACGAUCCGUAACUGGUCUGAGAGGAUGAUCAGCCACACUGGAACUGAGACACGGUCCAGACUCCUACGGGAGGCAGCAGUGGGGAAUAUUGGACAAUGGGCGAAAGCCUGAUCCAGCCAUGCCGCGUGUGUGAAGAAGGUCUUCGGAUUGUAAAGCACUUUAAGUUGGGAGGAAGGGCAGUAAGUUAAUACCUGGCUGUUUUGACGGUACCAACGGAAUAAGCACCGGCUAACUUCGUG
rnacentral:rRNA from 1 species